rnacentral:rRNA from 1 species
AAAACCGGGUAAAUAACACGUGAGUAACCUGCCCUUGACUCUGGGAUAAGCCUGGGAAACUGGGUCUAAUACCGGAUACCACCGCUCCACGCAUGUGGUGGUGGUGGAAAGCUUUUGCGGUUUUGGAUGGACUCGCGGCCUAUCAGCUUGUUGGUGGGGUAAUGGCCUACCAAGGCGACGACGAGCUAGCCGGCCUGAGAGGGUGACCGGCCACACUGGGACUGAGACACGGCCCACACUCCUACGGGAGGCAGCAGUGGGGAAUAUUGCACAAUGGGCGCAAGCCUGAUGCAGCGACGCCGCGUGAGGGAUGACGGCCUUCGGGUUGUAAACCUCUUUCAGUAGGGAAGAAACGUAAGUGACGGUACCUGCAGAAGAAGCGCCGGCUAACUACAUGCCACCCGCCGCGGUAAUACGUACGGCGCAAGCCUUAUCCAGAAUUAUUGGGCGUAAAGAUCUCGAAUGCGUGUUUGUCGCGUCUGCUGUGAAAGACCGGGGCUCAACUCCUGUUCUGCAGUGGGUACGGGCAGACUAUAGUGAUGUAGGGGAGACUGGAAUUCCUGGUGUAGCGGUGAAAUGCUCACAUAUCAAGAGGAACACCCAUGGCGAAGGCAAGUCUCUGGGCAUUAACUGACGCUGAGGAGCGAAAGCAUGGAGAGCGAACAGGAUUAGAUACCCUGGCAGUCCAUG